AGUUGGCCUACCCAGGAGAGAAAAUACACUGUCAGCAGGGACUGUACGAGACAGUAGAAAUAAUAGAGGCUAUAAGCCUAAUAUAGCUUUAAAGUUAUUUACCUGAGGUUGUUAUGCGGACAACAGAGAAGGUUGUUGAGGUUAUGCUCGUAACAGGUCACAAUUUUCCACCGGCACUACAAAAUGUACGGCCCCAAAUCCGUCACUGGAAAAACUCUUCCAGACGAUAAGUUUUCACAAACUUGGACCGUAUUUUCUAACCGAUGGAAAAAGAAUUAGCAAACACAGCUAAAUUCCGAGCACUGUCGUCAAGACCAAAAACCAAGAUGGACAGACCGGAUGUUAUCAGUCUUACCUCAAUGUCAUUCGAUCCCCAAACGAACAUCGAAGUACACCAUGGUUGACACAGUUACGCGACAAGAACCUACACAAAGAUCGUGAGCCAGAAAAAGACACACAGUUCCAGUGUUCUCAGACAUUCCUAAAACAACUCAACAGAACAAAACCUUUUUGCGAACGAAACAACCAUUUCAUACUAACUACCAUAGGCGUAACCAGGGGGGUUUUAAAGCAUUUAAACAUCUUUCAGUCCAGCGCAUAUAAAUGAAUUGUGAAGGUUUAACAAAAAAAAACCGUAACAACACCACCCCACCUAAAAAAAAGACUUAGACUUUCGAAUGAAAGUUGAGAACAUCAUUUUGUUCAGACGUGUAUAGGUGAACACUCACAAUAUGGGUAUACGCAAUCAAACUAAUACAACCCGAAGGACAUAUGGAUUCACCAGUAUCCAUCUAUAAAAUAACCUAACCUACUUAAAAUUGGGAAUCAUCAUUUUGUGAUGUGUAUGGGUGAACACACACACAACAGGGUCAAACACAGGGACACAAUCAAAAUGUGAUCCCAAAGUAAAAGACGAAUGGCUUCACCAUUAUCCACACAUCAUAAAAAAACUACAACUUAUGACAGGUUGUUCUUCAACUCAGUACUGUCCAACAUCAAACAUCAUCACACCUGCAGAGGACUCGACUUGAUACCAGUAGCCAGAACCUCCAUAGAUGAUGGGCUCGCCGCAGCUACCCAUCGUUCUAGCUCUGACCCCCCAAUAGCAAGCCCCCAACCACAAGCCUCAACUUUCCCAAAAGAAAGGAUGUGAUUGUGUAACCGCUGAAGACCUACUAAUAAAGUGAAGGGCCUUAAGCAAAAAAAAAAAA
rnacentral:lncRNA from 1 species